AUUGAACGCUGGCGGCAGGCUUAACACAUGCAAGUCGAGCGGGGGAGGUUGCUUCGGUAACUGACCUAGCGGCGGACGGGUGAGUAAUGCUUAGGAAUCUGCCUAUUAGUGGGGGACAACAUCUCGAAAGGGAUGCUAAUACCGCAUACGUCCUACGGGAGAAAGCAGGGGACCUUCGGGCCUUGCGCUCAUAGAUGAGCCUAAGUCGGAUUAGCUAGUUGGUGGGGUAAAGGCCUACCAAGGCGACGAUCUGUAGCGGGUCUGAGAGGAUGAUCCGCCACACUGGGACUGAGACACGGCCCAGAGUCCUACGGGAGGCAGCAGUGGGGAAUAUUGGACAAUGGGGGGAACCCUGAUCCAGCCAUGCCGCGUGUGUGAAGAAGGCCUUUUGGUUGUAAAGCACUUUAAGCGAGGAGGAGGCUACUGGUAGUAAUACUACCGGAUAGUGGACGUUACUCGCAGAAUAAGCGCCGGCUAACUCUGUGCCAGCAGCCGCAGUAAAAC
rnacentral:rRNA from 1 species